AACGAUGAAACUGAAGACGGGUUAAGGAAAUCACGAAGGAGAAGCAUGUUAAAAGAAGCGGAACUAUUCCUCUGGGGCCCAAAGCAGUAUGGAACAUGAGGGUUUCCAAACGAUGGCCAAUUCGAAGAAUUGGUGUUACAGUGGCGAGAGGUAAAAUCCCUGAUGGACGCCUGAGAUUCUUUUGAUGAGAAACUAAAUGGAGGCAGGAAGGGGUCUGUCGAAGAGUGAGGAU
rnacentral:misc_RNA from 1 species